CGUGCUUAACACAUGCAAGUCGAACGGAAAGGCCCUGCUUUUGUGGGGUGCUCGAGUGGCGAACGGGUGAGUAACACGUGAGUAACCUGCCCUUGACUUUGGGAUAACUUCAGGAAACUGGGGCUAAUACCGGAUAGGAGCUCCUGCUGCAUGGUGGGGGUUGGAAAGUUUCGGCGGUUGGGGAUGGACUCGCGGCUUAUCAGCUUGUUGGUGGGGUAGUGGCUUACCAAGGCUUUGACGGGUAGCCGGCCUGAGAGGGUGACCGGCCACAUUGGGACUGAGAUACGGCCCAGACUCCUACGGGAGGCAGCAGUGGGGGAAAUAUUUGCACAAAUGGGGCGGGAAAGCCCUGAAUGCAAGCAAACCGCCCGGCGUUGCCGGGGAA
rnacentral:rRNA from 1 species